AGAAAAAACUCAUUAAACCAUCUACUACGGUCUGUUAAAAGCCAUUUAAGGCCCUUGUCCUCUAAUCCUAAUAAAAAACUCUUUACAAGAGUAACUCCUAAAAACACAAAAGAAAACCCUUUAGAAAUCCUAAAAAGCAGAACAUAACAAUCAAACAAAAAAACCGGUGGGUAAACAAGCCGUUAGCCUCAUUCUUUGCCCCUUUCCUCUCUUCAUCAGCAUUUGAAAAAGGAGUGAAUCUACCCCAUUUCUAGUGAAGUUAUUUCUUGAACUCUUGCUCUGAUUCUUCUCUUCUGUAACUUUGAGUUUUAAUCGCACUUCGUUCUUAUAUCUUUGUCAUUUUACUCAGAAAAAUUUAACACUUCUUCUCUACUCAUACUCCCUCUAUCCAAAUCUACUAUUCUUACGACUUUUUCUGGUGCUUCUUCAACCCAGAACGUCGGUGAGUCUUGAGCCAUUUUGUGUACAGCUCGAUUUGCUGUUCGAGGAUCUUUGACCUAAAGGAUAGAAGGUUGGGAAGCGACGUGGCAGAUCAGCCAAAUUCUCCCAGGUAGCAUCCUCUAGAAACAAAUUUGCCCAUUCGACCAAUACCUCGGUCGUUGCCUAAUUUCCCCUCUUUACCAAUCUCCUAUCUAUAAUCCGGACUGGCUCCUUUGGAAGGGUCUCAUCCCAAUCCAUUGCUAGUAGUACAGGUUGAACUGUGUUGAAGCUGAUCUCCAUGUAGCUGGUAUGAAGCAAGUGCAGCUGGAAGCUGGCCAUGCAAGCUCGUGACAAGCAUGCAGCAACCUUGGUUUUGUGUUGCUGUUAGAUUUGAACUAAUAUUUUGUUCAUUUUAAAGUCUAGUUUGCUAUAAGCUUUUUGAUUGAUGUAAUUUGAUGUUGAUGGAGCUGUUAACCAGCUUUGUGUUAAUGUACAAGUUAAGUUUUUGUUAUUUGAAAAGCUUAGUGGAAGUAGGUGUAUGUUUAGGUAGAAAUUUGACUUGUAAGUUUUUUUUUAUUAUUUUUGAUAUAUGUAAUGGCUAUCUGCCUAUGAUGGAUGUAUGAAAAAAUACAAUUCAUUUUUUUCAUCAA